GGGCCGUUGGAGCAACAGGAAGCUCACCCGGUUCUCACCCGGGAGGUUGCGGGUUCGAGCCCCGCACGGCCUA
rfam:Micromonospora sp. HK10 genomic scaffold Scaffold53, whole genome shotgun sequence.